GAGAGAAACGUUCAUUUUUGCUUAUGUGAAGCUUGGGUAAGAUGCAGGUCGAGAGGCAUCUCGUUAGGCGUCUGGACUCUUGAAACGGAGUGGUUACUGGGUAGUUUUGCUGUACAAUGAUGUAUAUAUAUGUACUUAGUUUUCUCU